GGGUGGGUUGCUCCAGUGAUUAGAGCGUAGGUCUCGUAACCGAAAGGUUGCGGGAUCGAAUCCCGCUAGAGGCU
rnacentral:tRNA from 1 species